rnacentral:misc_RNA from 1 species
CACAUUGCGGGAGCCGGACCACGGCUCUCGCCCCGAGCGAUCGGGUUACCCUGCCUUCUGAGCACCAUUCGUUUCCUUGGUGGGCCUGCCCGCCACUGGGACUCUGAAAACCUCUUGUAAUGAGCAGUAACUGUCAGUAACGAAUUAUCA